UCUCUCUCUCUCUCUCUCUCUUUCUCUCUCUCUCUCUCUAUGGAAUACGAACGUGAUUUUCAUUCUCCAUCGCUGAAGCAGAAGGUACGAUCAACCUUUGUCUCUCCUGUUGCUUCGGCAACGGUCACCAUGAACAACUCGGAGACGAAGACAGGCCGAGGCUCGUCAGAUCUUCGUCUUCUGGCUGAGAUCGAGAGCUCACGAAUUCCCAGAAUUCAAAGAAAAAUGCCGGAAUGUCAUCUCUCGGAUGGGAAGAGGUCGUAGACACUCAGCUGAUUUCAGCGAAUAAAGGAUACCUCCAAAAAUUUCGUCUAAAAGGGAAAGAGGAGAAGUACGAGAUGUCAGGGGAGAAAGGGAGGGGAGAGAGAAAAAGCGGGGCCAACAGAAGCAGAGAGGGUCGUGGGAGAGAAGAGAGAGAACUGAUGCGGAGGACAGAAUUGCAGAGUGAAGAGAGGAAAACCCCGGCAGAGGCGGAUUCACAUGCCGCAUAGAAGUCAAAUCAUCUAGGAGAUUGAAUUUCAUUGCUCAGUUAAAAGGAUUCGUGGCGAGGAUGAACGAAACUUCUGCUUCUGCCAUGAAGAUUGAUGUGAUAAGUCGCAAUUUUCUGAUUAGAUCAAUCCCAAGUCCUCUAUAAAUGUGCUGCACCUAUUAAAAUCUGUUCAGAUGCAGCACGGAUCGCGGCAUAGGAGGUACUGCACUAAGAGGGCCAUAACUAAAUGAACAGCGAUGGAAGUGAGGAUUAUCAUACUGGUUGGUCACCCUGUCCUCAGGUGGGAAAUGCAUAUUUGUACUUUAUAUGGAAGCAAUUAAGUGAAUCCGGCAAGUAUGUUAUCUAUCCGCGGAGGGAGAGAAUUGCAGAAAGAAAGUUGAUGAACUUUUGAAUGAGUAUAAUUUUUUUUAAUCCAGUUCUCAAAAAGUUGCAGGGUGUUGCUUGAGUAGUUGGGUUCUCAAGCUCCUAACUACUUUUGCAGUUAGGGUUUGACUCUCUUUUUUGGGGCUCGGAUUGAUUACCAAGACAGAGCAAAGUUGAAGGACGAGAAGAGACUUGAGGUUGUAUGGCAGGGUUCAAAGUCUCUUGGUAUGUUCCCCUGGCAUUACAAUCCUUUUGAUGGCUUCACAUUUGAAUUAAAUGAUGAAUCUCCCCCGUUCGGGGUGACUUGCUUCUGUUUGACUACAAUGUGCAAGAGUGAGUGAAUGACUUUGUUGAUAUUUUCUUCACCCUGGCUAAGGAGUUUGUUGCAUCUUCACUUGAUUGCUUGGCUGGGUCGAGAUCAAAUUCUAGAUGUGGGAGUAUAGCGAUCAAAUUUCAACAGGCUAAGUAUUAUAAGCCUCUGUGUUUCUGUGCUAUUUGUACUCAUGGUUUUUAACAUUCUUUUCACUUCAGGUUUAACUUAACUAAUUCCAUUAUUUCAUUCCUAGAAAGUAGUUGCCUUCAAAAGCUUUGCAAUUCCUUUAAAACCAAAUACUUAAUUCCCCAUCCAUAUUUUUGUUAGGUUUCCUAUCAGGUUCUUAUGCAUACGCUAUUUGAUUUGGAACUUCUGCAACUUGAAUGGUUAAGAAAAAAGAAAAUAAAUUUAGCAAGAUCUUUAGUGCAAGUUUUGUGUGAUUCUGAUUUGUGAAAGAGAAGGAAAGACAAGCCAUGGAUGGUUCUCAUUGAUAAAAACUGAUGUUCCCAGGUUGGCAUUGAGAGGGGGGUGAAUUAGUGAUUCCAAAAAUUUCCUUAUUUGGAACCCAACAAAAACUUCCAAUUUCCAAGUUCUAGAUUGGUCGGGGCAAUCCUGUAAUUACCAAUCACGUAAAAAACCACACAUCUACCUUACACCACAAUGUGGCUGGGUCUACCAGACAAUGUCCUACCACUUUGCACAACACGCACUUCAAAUAUAUGUAGAAAAGUAAAUGCGAGACAAGAACACUAGAUAUACGUGGUUCGGCCAGUGUGCCUACAUCAACGGAGGAGUACCCAUAUAGGAUUUCGUAUUUCCUCAAUACUCAACUUUUUCAACUACUACUACGGUUCAGGAAAACCUAUCCUUGCUUCAAUCUGAGAUGCAACUCAAACAAGGGCAUCAACCCCACACCCUAGACAAGCCCCAACUCGCUAGGUUCACAAUUUUAAAUCAAUAAAAUAAAAUCCCAACCCAAUACACCAUUGAUCUAGAGUUUCUCAACAAUAAACACUCUAGAAUACAAAAAUAGGGAUCUCAGAUACGGAUUACCUCAACUUGUGUAAUCCUGUUGACGAUCGCUUGCUUGACAUAUAGAAGAACAUGUUCAAACCAUCAACAUAGCAGCAAAGCAAUAACCUUUCUUUCUUGUUCAAAAUCGAGUCUCCAUUACACGCUUAAUAAAGACAAGGUGUGAUAGCCAUCGAACUUACUUCUCCCUACUUGCUCUAUUUCUCUCUGAAACGGCUGCCAAGGGUUUUCUGUUUCGGUUUUGCAGCACUAGCCAAGACUCACGACUCCUCUAAUCUGAUAUAGUAUUCAAUAGCAACCGACUCAAGGAUGCCGUGUCAAAAUCAAGAUUGAGAACCAGUCCACAACUAACGGGGAAUCCUCACCUUUUGAAACUCACUUUCUAUUUCAAAUUCUGUUAAUAUAUUGAGCAGCAGCAGCUCAUGCACAUGAAACAAACGUCCCACUUCAAUUAAUUACUUUCUAGCCGUCCAAUGAAGUACUGACACAUAACAACAAGGAAUCCUUUUUAAAAUCAGAUUGUAUAACCUCCUUGUUGAACCAAUAACACCAUAGCAGCAAGUGUAGGAGAUGUACACCUGUGUGAAAUGAGUUCUACUCCUAUUGGACUGCUAACAAAGCUUACCCAUCUCUUUUACAAUUUCUGGCCAAAUUUAGUUUUGAGUAACUGAUAAUAGAGUCAUGAUUGAACUCUACUUUGUAUUUCAUAUAAUACUGCCAUACAUAGGGCCUUCUGUCCACGUGUACAAGAAUCCAAUUCCAUCAAAACUCAAGAAUGCAUACUUCUGUCCACAUACUAGAAAUAGUUACAAUGGCUGAAAUUUUAAACUUUAUAGUGCAUAAUGACAUCAUUGUUCAUAAACUGCUGAAGUAUUAACUCCAUAAUGCUUGAAUAAACUUGAAACCUGUUGCUAUAUAAUUUAAUCAAAUAAUUCCACAAGUCCUCACCUCAUAAUGCAGUUGAACCAUAUUAUUGAACUAUGAACCAUUUAGUGAGUUCUCAACUAGGCCGAACCAAUAUACCAUAUUCCUAGUUGCUCUUAGUUGCCAAUAAUGACAACAUGCGAUCCAAUUUCCCAACAAUCUCCCUCUUUGGAAUUGUUGGCAACAUUAUUUUGACUAUAUGUUACACUUCUCUCCCCCUUUGACAACAAGUACAAAGGGUGACGAUGCUCCCCUAUAUAGUAGCUCCCCCUGCAUAGACUCACCUAUAGGAGUGCCCACCGCAUCUUCCUAUCCUAUAUGGAUUUGAUGUCUCUAUGCUUACUCAUCUACUCCAUAUUUUUGUGAGGUUUCCUGUCAGGUUCUUAUGUAUGCACUCUUUGAUUUUGAACUUUUGCAACUUGAAUGGUUAGGAAAAAAGAAAAGAAAUUUAGCAAGAUGUUUAGUGCAAGUUUUGUGUGAUUCUGAUUUGUGAAAGAGAAGGAAAGACAAGCCAUGGAUGGUUCUCAAUGAUAAAAACUACUAAAUGAGUCUAUUUUGGAGAACUCAAUAUGAUAAAACAUAGAGGAAUAAAAAUUCAUGUUCAGUUGUAUUCUAUGAAAAAUUUGAAGUUAAGAUGUUCUUUCAGAUAUAGAGGAACUUAUUUGAAAACUUGAAUAUGAAUACCAAGCCAAAAAUGGCAAGCCAAAGGCUCCCAUUACAAUAUGGAACUGAAAGCACUAUGAUUACAAUUAUUUCUACUCAAAUCAGAACCUUCAAGAGUAAGAAAACACAGAACACCAUUUAGGCCACACUAUUCCCCCCUUGCUUACUCAUAAGAUCAACAAGGUCGUAUGUAGGCCUUGUUUCCAUUGGAAUGAGCAGUUCAGUUCACCUGAGAAGCAAAGCCUUUUAUUUACCGUAAUCAUGUCUGCAAACCUCUAGGACUGGUCCUCUAUAGAAUUAACCCAUGCUGUGACCAUGGCUAAGUCACCUUCUGUGGCCGUUUAGGCCUUUCGGGAGAGAAGAAUUCUUCCCUUCUUGACACUGAGUUCUGGGUUAUGAUGUUUCUGAAACAAUUCGUCCUGGAUAUUGUAUAUUAUUAAAGUUACUCUGUGGAGUUGAAGUUGUUUGGGUUCUGAAUUUUACUUGAGAUUCCAUGGUUGUUGUUUUCUGUACCAAUAAUGCUUGCAUUUGCAGAUCACCAGGGUUUAUAAUGAGAAAGAGCAUGCUGAAAUUGAGUUCACUGUAUGCCUACCCUCUUGGACAUUGAUCCAUAUAUGUAUUAGUAGUCUUCUUAGUCCUGAUUACAUAAUCAUUCCCUUUGUCUCUAUUACUUUUAGUAGCAUGUUCUUGAUUUGUUCAAUGAUGAUACUUAAUUUUUAGGUUGGUCCUAUUCCUGUUGAUUGUGGAAUUGGGAAAGAAGUUGUAACUCAAAUUACAAUACCUAUGUAGACCAAUAGAACAUUCUAUACAGAUUCUAAUGGACACGACUUUAUGCAUAUACUUUCCUACUGUGUUUCUAUGUUCAACAUGAUGGUGCAGUGAAAACAUGAACAGUUAAAUUUAAAUAUCAUCAUGUUCUUAGAAAGAUUUCAGAUGUAUUUAUCUUAUCUUGUUGUAAUUGGGUGACAAUCUACCUUUUAGUUUAAGUCAUUUUUAGCACUGAACUAGUUAACAUAGAGAAGUUUGACACUUGAAAGUUUGUGUGAAUUUAUUUAGGUAGUUGAAUACAUGCGUGAACCCUCAAAGAGUAGAGGGCUCCAAUAGAUGCUGCACCAUGUAGUAAGAGUUGUUUAAGCUUUUCAUCCAUCAACUAGAAGACAUUUUGAUGAAUAUUUGAAGCUGUGCAGACAGGUUUAUGAGCAAGGAAGGAAAAAUAAGGGUGCCACCAGCCUUGUGAUCCCUACCUUUUUCUUAUCUACUCUUCUUUUUCUUUUCUUUAUAUAUAUAUAUAUAUAUAUUGAUUGAUUGAAUGGUGUUAUGUUGUGUUACCUAGUCUGAGUAACCUUGUGACAUGUAUACAAAUGGGUUAUCAUUGUUUCAUGUUUGAAACAUUUUGUCCAAUCCGAUUACUGUUUUUUAUUGAAUCUGAAAAAUUCCCCUGAAAUUCUUGAUAUAAUUAAUUUUUUAGUGCCUCUUUCUUAGGGUGACCACUUGAUUUUUGUCAAUUCUAUCUAUCGGGUAUGAUAUAUGGGGACGGAAAGAAUUUCUUACUUGAUUUUUUCCUUGCAAGAUUGGUAGAUGAACCUAUUCGUGAGGAGUGUCCUCUGAUAUAUCAUCUAGAUGUUGCUGCAAUUUAUCCAAAUAUCAUUUUAAAAAAAGGGCUCCAGUGCAGGUCAAUUAGUGGUGAAGAAACUUUUACUCAUAUUUUCAAGGAAAUAUAUAUUGAUUACUUUGGUUGACCAGUAUAAACCAAGGUUCGAAAUUUCAUUUCGUUUCGGUAUUUCAGUGGACUCAGAAACACCGAAAUACCAAAAUUUUGGCGAGAUUUUCCGAGAUGGUAUAUUUUUUUUUUCUGGUUGACUAUUUCGGUGGUCAAACGAUCAUAUUUUGACCUGAAACUUGGUGGGUAGCU